AACCACAACCAAGGGAUCGGGCGUGGCGGAAUCAACGGGUAACGAAGAUCCUUCAGAGCAGGAUUGUAGUGUGGCCCGGUG
rnacentral:miRNA from 1 species